CGCAGAACAAAAACGCAAUGCACAUCAAUAAUGUGUUAGAGCUGGUAGGUAGCCCAGCCGUCUGAAAACGCUUCAGGUAAGUAACCUUCCCCUCCGGGUUGUCCCUUUCUGCGAAAUA
rnacentral:ncRNA from 1 species